CAACUUUAGCCACUGUUGAACCCUAAGCUCUCACAUCGAUACAAAAUCAAUUCGGAAAAUAUAAAAAACAAAUUCAAAAGGAAACACAAAAAAAGGGAAAUUUUUCUCAUCAAAUCAGUUAAUCCAUCUUCUCCAACCUAGUAAUUACCCACUUUCUCUCUCCUCCGGGAUUCUGCAUUUUUUUCAGUGGAAGUUUUUUGUCCCUUUUCCUAGAUGAUCUGUUUUUUAUUCAUCCAUUUUCAUUACUUCAGCUGCUGAAAUUCGCACUUUCGUUAGCUGGGUUUUUUCCCCUGAUGAUUUGAUUUUUUAAUGGGAAUAGAUAGUAUUGUGAAGACAUUUCAAGUUUGAAUUCCUUUAGCCCUCAAAAUAAAGAUCAAAUAUGAGGUCUAACAUGACAGGAAUAGGGUUCUACAACUCGGAACCACGAAAUUUCAACCGUGGUUUUGGGCGUGGAAUUCCAAAACCCUUUCAACCAUCUCAGCGUCAUCCAUCCCCGCAGCCAUCUCGUAAAGGCGACCUUUUCAUCGAGGCUGGUAAACUAGCAGUCGAGUAUUUGGUUUCGCGUGGAUUGUUGUCUUCAAAUGUGCUCCCUGGCAAAUAUCAAAAUGGCAGUUUGAGAAAUAAUUCUGGGGAACCACAUGAUCUUCGCAGUUCUCUGGAUAGGGAUAGUAAUAGAAGGUCCUCACUUGAUUUGGAUAUAACCAUGUCAAGGAGUUACUCGAGGGAGAAGAGAAGACUUGGGCCUUCUAGGAGUUUUAGCUCUGACUGGAGCCGUGAAAAUGAAAAGGAAGGUUCUUUGACUGAAGAAGCUAUUCCUGCAAGGACCAUGGAAGUUGAUAAUGACACAUUUCACAAGGAUACUACCAAAGAUGCUGAUACCUUUGUCCAGAAUUCUCAUCCAGUUGAGCCUGCUGCCAAAGAUGAUAGCCAUACUGAGUUAGAGGAUGACAUUGCAAAGGGCUGUUCUCUUGGUGAUUUAGACUCAGCGAUGACUUCUUUGGUAAAAAACGAGGAUGAUAAAGAGGUCAUGAAAGUUUCUGAUUCAGUGAACACCAUGUUUGAGGAGAGUAAAACUAGCAAUGAGAAUCAUGACAUGGAGAAAGAUACUGCCGUGGAUAAUUUGGCAAUUCAGCUAGGUGAAGAGAAGAGCACUGCUUCUCCUUUGAUUAACAACCACCCAGAUAGCAAUCCAACUUUGAUCAGCAAUGAGAUCAAGGUUACUGAGACCGGACAUGAUUCUCUCGACUCCCAAAAAUAUGAUACCAUGAAUAAUUCGGAAGAGAUUCUUAAUUCCAAGGGCCUUGGUACAGAUGUAUCUGAUCACUCUUUCAGCGAGGCAGGAGGACUGAGCCCUGUAUACCCUGUUGAUCAGCAAGGAUUUAUGGAUUCCCUGCCUUUUACUGAUAAAACAUUUUCUUUUGAACAAAAGUCUAGUGGAUUGCCUGUGCUAGGAAUGUGCAAUUCCAUUUCUAAAGAUAGAGGUGAAAAACGACCCAUUGAGGAGGAUAACAUGAUGGAGGGAGUAAAGAAAGCUAAACAUCAAUGGCUUUCUGUUGCUCAAAGUGAUGAGUACUCACACCUUUCAGAUCUGAGCGACAAGCAUUCCGUUUCACCAGAAAAAGGGGCUAUGAACAUUUUUAAUGUGUCUGCUAGCCAGGACAGCUUUACCAAUGUCUCGUUGGAUCUAAAAGGCGGUGUUGAAGCCAAUUUAAACCAAGGAGAGAAGCAGCUGCUGUCAAACUCAUUUAAAAUUUGUGACCUCAAUCUUAUGGAAGCCUCUGAUAUGCAUGAGAAUCAUGAAAUUCCUGCUUUGUUGUAUCCCACAAUUCCAGGUCCAAGACGAGAUUUACCAGUUGAUAUUGAUCUGUCCGUAAAUAACAGUUGCAAUUUAACUAAUGAUUUUAACGACUCCGGAUCAAUGAGAAAAGAUAUUGAAAUAAUUGAUCUGGAAAGUACAUCUUUGGAGGGAUGCAAAAGCCCAAAUACUUCCCUGAAAAAUAAUGAGGCUGGUAUCACAAGCAUGGAGAGCUUUCAAAAUCCACAAAACUCUACUGAGAAUCCAGAUGGUCAGGAUGGGUAUGGGUUCAUGAUAUCAGAGCUUCUUGGUAAUGAUGUCCCAAAUUGUUCUUCAGUUCAGCCUGAUAUGAAUUCUUUGCACAAUGGCAUGGGACUUAAUCAUGGAGAGGGAAUGUUCAGUGAAGAUGAUCCAAUCUACAUGUCCCUGGGAGAAAUUCCUCUAAGUAUGCCAGAUAUUUAAAUUGCUGCAGGUCUGUUACGUGAUUGGGAACAGCCUACACAAGAGAGAAAUCCUUUUGAACUGUAGCUCAAUAAUCAUGGGUCUCAGAUAUCCCUGUAAUCAGGCUAUGCGCAUGCUGCAAUCACGAGUGUGAAGUCCGCCAAGACAAUGAGAUUUCAUAGGCACAGAUUGCAGCAGUUAACCUCAUAGUGCUGCUAGCCGUGUAAAAACACACUGUACUGAAGGAUGUGCAAGUUAAAGGGUUCUUGUGUAUGAUUGUAAGCCAGUGCGAUAAGAGGAGGUUUAGAGGCAUUUAGAUGUAGUUACAAAUUUGCCAAUAAGCACCCUUUUCAAAUGCAAAUCCCCGUUUGUAAUCUGUGUAUAUGUGCAUUGCCUACAAAAUAACUGGAAAUGCACCCAUGUUUAAAGGGGAAUUACCAGUUAUAACGGUUUUAUUGAUAUUAGAGAAUUAAAACCAAUUUGUUCUUCAUGGAGGGAAGACCAGUCCUUGUACUCUGUUCUGAAGUAAAAUGCUAUACAUUUUACAAUACUGUGACGCUUUUCUUAUAGUUCGUAAGUUUAUUGGCAUGUGUGUUGCUUCA